rnacentral:rRNA from 1 species
GCGCNCCUUNCAUGCAGUCGAACGGCAGCGCGGGAGCAAUCCUGGCGGCGAGUGGCGAACGGGCGAGUAAUACAUCGGAACGUGCCCAAUCGUGGGGGAUAACGCAGCGAAAGCUGUGCUAAUACCGCAUAAGAUCUACGGAUGAAAGCAGGGGACUCGCAAGAGCCUUGCGCGAAUGGAGCGGCCGAUGGCAGAUUAGGUAGUUGGUGAGGUAAAGGCUCACCAAGCCUUCGAUCUGUAGCUGGUCUGAGAGGACGACCAGUCACACUGGGACUGAGACACGGCCCAGACUCCUACGGGAGGCAGCAGUGGGGAAUUUUGGACAAUGGGCGCAAGCCUGAUCCAGCCAUGCCGCGUGCAGGAUGAAGGCCUUCGGGUUGUAAACUGCUUUUGUACGGAACGAAAAGUCUCUUUCUAAUAAAGAGGGAUCAUGACGGUACCGUAAGAAUAAGCACCGGCUAACUACGUGCCAGCAGCCGCGGUAAUACGUAGGGUGCAAGCGUUAAUCGGAAUUACUGGGCGUAAAGCGUGCGCAGGCGGUUAUGUAAGACAGUUGUGAAAUCCCCGGGCUCAACCUGGGAACUGCAUCUGUGACUGCAUAGCUAGAGUACGGUAGAGGGGGAUGGAAUUCCGCGUGUAGCAGUGAAAUGCGUAGAUAUGCGGAGGAACACCGAUGGCGAAGGCAAUCCCCUGGACCUGUACUGACGCUCAUGCACGAAAGCGUGGGGAGCAAACAGGAUUAGAUACCCUGGUAGUCCACGCCCUAAACGAUGUCAACUGGUUGUUGGGUCUUCACUGACUCAGUAACGAAGCUAACGCGUGAAGUUGACCGCCUGGGGAGUACGGCCCGCAAGGUUGAAACUCAAAGGAAUUGACGGGGGACCCGCACAAGCGGUGGAUGAUGUGGUUUAAUUCGAUGCAACGCGAAAAACCUUACCCCACCUUUUGACAUGUACGGAAUUUGCCAGAGAUGGCUCAGUGCUCGAAAGAGAACCGUAACACAGGUGCUGCAUGGCUGUCGUCAGCUCGUGUCGUGAGAUGUUGGGUUAAGUCCCGCAACGAGCGCAACCCUUGUCAUUAGUUGCUACAUUCAGUUGGGCACUCUAGUGAGACUGCCGGUGACAAACCGGAGGAAGGUGGGGAUGACGUCAAGUCCUCAUGGCCCUUAUAGGUGGGGCUACACACGUCAUACAAUGGCUGGUACAAAGGGUUGCCAACCCGCGAGGGGGAGCUAAUCCCAUAAAACCAGUCGUAGUCCGGAUCGCAGUCUGCAACUCGACUGCGUGAAGUCGGAAUCGCUAGUAAUCGUGGAUCAGAAUGUCACGGUGAAUACGUUCCCGGGUCUUGUACACACCGCCCGUCACACCAUGGGAGCGGGUUCUGCCAGAAGUAGUUAGCCUAACCGCAAGGAGGGCGAUACCACG